rnacentral:rRNA from 1 species
AGCGAACGCUGGCGGCAGGCCUAACACAUGCAAGUCGAACGAACUCUUCGGAGUUAGUGGCGGACGGGUGAGUAACCCGUUGGAACGUGCCUUUUGGUUCGGAAUAACUCAGGGAAACUUGUGCUAAUACCGAAUGUGCCCUUCCGGGGAAAGAUUUAUCGCCAUUAGAGCGGCCCGCGUCUGAUUAGCUAGUUGGUGAGGUAACGGCGCACCACGGCGACGAUCAGUAGCUGGGCUGAGAGGAUGACCAGCCACACUGGGACUGAGACACGGCCCAGACUCCUACGGGAGGCAGCAGUGGGGAAUCUUGCGAAAUGGGCGAAAGCCUGACGCAGCCAUGCCGCGUGAAUGAUGAAGGUCUUAGGAUUGUAAAAUUCUUUCACCGGGGACGAUAAUGACGGUACCCGGAGAAGAAGCCCCGGCUAACUUCGUG